AUUGUGAGCUUCCCUUCGUUCUUCCGGUUAUGUAUGUUGUUGAAAAGAAAAGACGAAUGCCUGGGGAAAACAAAACACUACGAAUACGGAUAGUGAAAGAUGAGUUCUCAGCCAUUUUCUACAGCUGGAAUGCCUGCUCAGAGUAAUCCUGGUGGAAAGCCGGUCUCCAUCAAUCAGUCAUCCAAACAGCCAGCAGAGGGAACUCUGGGUCUUCCUUUCCUGUGGCGGUCCUCAUGAGAGCCAGUUUCAUCAUAGAGCUUGAUGGUUUUUGCGACUGCACUUGAAUAAACUUUAAAAAUUCUUGAAAUGUUCC
ensembl:lncRNA